rnacentral:rRNA from 1 species
CCUACGGGAGGCAGCAGUGGGGAAUAUUGGGCAAUGGGCGCAAGCCUGACCCAGCAACGCCGCGUGAAGGAAGAAGGCUUUCGGGUUGUAAACUUCUUUUGACAGGGAAGAGCAGAAGACGGUACCUGUCGAAUAAGCCACGGCUAACUCCGUGCCAGCAGCCGCGGUAAUACGUAGGUGGCAAGCGUUGUCCGGAUUUACUGGGGGUAAAGGGCGUGUAGCCGGGCUGACAAGUCAGAUGUGAAAUCCGGGGGCUCAACCCCCGAACUGCAUUUGAAACUGUUGGUCUUGAGUAUCGGAGAGGCAGGCGGAAUUCCUAGUGUAGCGGUGAAAUGCGUAGAUAUUAGGAGGAACACCAGUGGCGAAGGCGGCCUGCUGGACGACAACUGACGGUGAGGCGCGAAAGCGUGGGGAGCAAACAGGAUUAGAUACCCUAGUAGUC